GCCCUCCUGGCUCAGUGGUAGAGCAUCCACUUUGCAUGCAGAAGAUUCUAGGUUUAAUCCCCAGCAUAUACAGGUAGGGCU